rnacentral:lncRNA from 1 species
CUUAAACUAAACAUUGUCCUCAAUGUUUUAAGGAAAUGAAAUACAAGAUGGAAAGGAAAAAGAAAAUAACAACUAAGGCUGCCUUCCGCCUCUGGUUCUUGGACCUGGUGAUCUUUGACGUAUGUCUAAGUUGUCGAACCUGUUGAACAAUUCAGUAAACCGCUGGUCGGUUAUGGCAUUCCGAGCGUCCUGUUGCUGUUGCAUUUGACGCAUCAUCUGCAUC